CGAUCUAUGCUAAAUUGGUAAAGGCAUCGCCGAUGACAAGCGAGGGUGCGGGUUCGAGUCCCGCUAGAACGG
rnacentral:tRNA from 1 species